rnacentral:lncRNA from 1 species
AUUACUGCAGUAAAACACUGUAGCAUUGAUACUGUAGCGGCAGUACUGUAGCGCCGGUGCCGUAGUAGUACUGUAGCGCAGUACUGUAGCAGUACCGGGGAGAUAAACAUUCAGGUAUCGUUUGGUUCGGGGAUAAGCAAAAAGUGGGUAUUCCAGGGAUAGGUAUAAAUUGAGGUAUAAGCGGGGAUUAGAUCAAUUUUGCGUUUGGAUGAAAAUUGGAUUAUUCCUAGGAAUAAGAAAAAUAACGUUUGGUUAGGUAAGAUAGAAUAAGAUUUAAAGUGGGUAGUUAUAAAUAAAAAUUAAUAAUAUUAUCACUUUUUUUAUUUAUAUUAGAAUUUAAAUUUUUAUAUUUUAUAUUUAUAUUUUAAAAUUUAAAUUUUAACUUUUAAAUUUCAAAUUUUGAAAUUAAAAUUUAAAAUUUAAAAUCUCAAAUUUUAAAUUCAAAAUUUAAAUUUUAAAUUUCUAACUUUAAAUUUAAGAUCAAAUUUAAAUUUGAAAAAAAAUAAAUUCAAAUUUAAAAUUUCAAAAAUUUAAAAUUUUAAAAUUUAAAUUUAAAAUUUAAAAUGUGGAAUUUAAAAUUAUAAACUUUAAUUUUGAGAUUACAAAUUUUAAAUUUUAAAUAUAAUUUAUUAUAAUAUUUUAAAUUUUAAAUUUAUUUAAAUUUUAAAUUUUAAUUUAUUUUAAUAUUUAAAUAUAAUUUAUUAUAAAAUUUAUUAUAAUAUUUAAAUAUAAAUAAUAUGUAUUAAUAUAGCACAAUUAAUAAUUUUAUAAUAAAAAUAAUGUAUUAUAAUAUAUAAUAUAUUAUAUUUAUAUAAUUUAGUUUUAAUUUAUUUUAUAAUUUUAAUUAAGUUUGAAAUUAAGCAUGGGAAUAGCACUAUUCCACCAAAAUGGUGGAAUAGUAAAAAGCUUGCUAUUCCGGAAUAACCGGGAAUAGCAAGCUUUGACCGGAAUAAAAUAUUCCGGUAAAAAAUGAUCCCGUUUGGCGGAAUAGUGGGGAUAACUUUCGUUAUCCCCGCUUAUCCCCCUAACCAAACGGGGCCUCAAGGAUUAUAGGAGAUAGAACACCAAAAGAAAAAGGCACCUAUGGAAGAAUGUGAGAUUUGUGGUGGAUGGUGGCUAUGGAUCGAUAUCCCCAAAUUAGGGUUCCCGCUCUAAUACCAUGAAAGAAGGGUAAAAGAGUAUACCCUCAUGAAUUCUAUUGAUGAUGUUAUAUAGUACAAGAGAUGAGUCUAAUAUAGUAACAAUGCCUAAUAUAGUAACAAUAUAACUAGGCAUCUCAUAUCAUGUAAUCCUACUCUAAAUAUGUCGAGAUAUAUAGCAUCCUCAUAUAGCAUGAGAUACUAAAUAUGUCGUAACACAUGGAGGCAAUGGUAAGGCAUGAGCUAGUUAAGGUUGGAAAGAUGAAGAAAGAUUACAACAAUGCCGUAGAAUGGAGAUGGAAAAGAACAAGAAGGUUGUGGUGGUGAAGGUUUAAAGAAAAAGGUAAUGUUGUUAUCCUCGCCUCAUAACUCAUGGUGUAUUCUCUUGAAGAGUGUUCAUAAUAUAUUGCAGAUAAAAAGUAGAAUUUGACAGCUCAGUGGUGAAGUAGAAAUUGUGAUACAUACAAGAAUUUAUUCUGUAUUUUAGGGCCUGUUUCGUUCCUCAGAAAUUUCCCUAGAAAACUUUUUUCAAGUUGGAAAAAGUUUUUUCUGUGUUUGGUUCACAGGAAGAACAGAUUUUUUAGAAAAUUAUUUUCCAUAUUUCACGGAAAACUUUCCUUUUUGUUCUCCAAAUUUUUUUAGAAAAAUGAAAAAAAUUUUCUUACGAACAUUUUAAGGAUUUAAAAAGGGAAAAUCUCUUUGCUAAUACAGUAUACAUUUACUACCCAAUCGUCAUCUCAACCAUCUCCCACUGUCAGCUCUAUCUCCCCAAAUUAUAUAUAUAUACACGGUAUAAUUAUCUCCAUCUCCUAUCGGUCAUAUCAAUCACCUCCAUCUCUUUUGUUAAACUAUUUAUUUACACCAAAAUAUACUUAAAAUUUAUUUUUAUUUAAUUAUUUAUUAUUUAUAUUGUAAACAAUUUGUGAGUAUUAUGUUAAAUUUAAAAAUAAAAGGUUGGUAAUCUCACCAUCCUUUUAUAGAAGGUAUUUAUAUACCAAAAUUUUCAACCAAAAAAACAAGUGAAAUCGAAAUAAAAAAAUUAUUUUUUAUUUUUUUCUUACCACCCAAACACGCAUACAUGGAAAACUAAUUUUCUUUUCCGUCGAACCAAAUGAUAGAAACUAAAAAAAAAAUUUUCACAAAAAACUUUUUUCCUCAAAAAAUAGUUUUCUACUAUUUUCCAAGGAAUCAAUCAGGCCCUUAGCCUAAAAUAGAAAUGUAAAAAUGCCUUAUAUAUGUUAAUAUAUAUUCCUAGGCCCAUAUCUUACAAGACAAUCUUUUGGGUAACAUGGUAUCUGAGCCAAAUUCUAAACUCCUGUCUGUGAGAUCAAAGGUUUGAUCACCACCUUCAAUUUCUAGCGGAUUAAAUUUCCACAUCAUAUUUCCCUCACCUAUCAAAUCCAUAUGGCUUUCAUACCUGUCAUGCACAUUAAGUAUGGGGUGUUAAUAUAUAUUCUUGGGCCUAUAUCUUACUAGAUUGAUCUCUUGGAUAACAAUAUAAUUUUAAGAUACUUGUUUGUUACUUCAAAAGAGGGGGCUCUGACAUUAAUUUGUGACAAACAAGGUUGUAAAUAGCGGAUAGCAAGUACAUAGCAGUUGGAGGGUCCCAUAGCGGACAGUAGAUAACGGGUGCUAUAGUGGGCGCGCUAUGAACCCAUAGCAGGUUUCAUAAAAACUUGCCUAAUAUGUUCAUGUUCCUCGUAAAAGAUACAUAUAAUAUUGAAGAUAAGACAACUAAUCAUUUCUGUUUUUAGCAUUGCAAGCCUAUACAAAUUUAAUGUCAUUAUCUAUUAAGAUUAACUUUAAAAUAUUACAAUUUAGCAAACCAAAAAAGCCAAAAAACUCGAAAAAUCUAUAAUCCAUUAACAAUCUAAAUUUACAAUUUGUAAAUGAAUGUCAAAAAGGAUAUCUUGGGUAAAUGAAUAAAAUAUUAUUCAUCAGGAAGACAUUCUUCUUCUUCUUCUUAUUCACUAGAGGUAUUCUGGUCAUCCAUCUCAACAUUUGUUUCUUCAUCUCCUUCCGAUUCCGACGACUCAUACUCCAUAUCAUCAACAGUUCUAGUAUUUGCUCUCUAUGUCUAUGUUGUGGCUUUCCUUCUUGCAUUCCUCCUUGUCUGUGACUCAAACUUUUUAAGUUUUAGGCUCAUAGCGCCCGCUUUCCGGCAGCUUUAUAGUGGCCGCAUUAGCGGGCCCUAUGCCGUUAAAGCAGCCACUAUGAACCCAAUCCACUAAAUUCCAUUUUAGAGAAUAUAGCAUAGCGAUACCACAUAAAAGCUGCUAUAGCGGCCUGUCACGGACUUAAGCUAAAUCGCUCGUUUAGCCCGUGCGGCGCUCACCUUCCUUCGCGAAGUGAGCAAGUCUACCUCUCUACUUGCUAAGUUAGGACCUACUCGCAGAGAGAGAGUUUGAGUAAUGUUGAGUGUUGAUAAAAGUUGAGAAUACAACUGAUUUCCUAAGAAGGGGGUGGAGGCACAACCUUAUAUAGGCCACUCGCCACCCAGACUACAAAUGAAAAGACGCCAAGUGGUGCAUACUUAAAAGGCAAAAAGGGAGGCUACAAGCUCCCAAGAGACUACAAUUAUUGCCUACCUAGAAAUCCUAAAGGACUGUUGACCCUUCAGCAUCCGUACCAUCAGUCCUGAGAUCCAUGUAGAAGCUUCUAGAACGUCCCAGCAAAACCUCCAACAAAACGCUCCUUCGGAGAUUGGGCCACUGUCAAGGAGAAGUCAGUAGAAAACAUUUUGUCCGUGACAACCUCCCCCACCUAACGCGCAGACGCCCUCGUCGCGCGCCGAGCUGCUCACGGUCCGCGUAGCCUUCAAGGCAGUCUGUCGUACCUUCGCGCCCGAUCGGCCCCGUGCCUUGUUACCACAGUCUACCCGCACCAGCUCCUAGUGCCUUGCCUCUCUGAGCAUGUACACCAGCGAACCCGCUGUGCGAAGAAUCCACCAAGUGUGUACACACGCACACUCCGCCAAGCCGCAAAACGCCUCUUGGUCCCCUCGGACUCCUGCUAGACAGAAUGAGUUGAACCUUGAUUGGGCGCUAGCUGCUUCAACGCCUCAUAAGACUUGACAAGCUCGCUGCUGCUCAGGUCCUCGAGUUCCUCAACCUUCCCGCACUUCACCUCCUCGUAAAGUUGCAGGGCUGUCAGAGUUCGGUCAUUCGUCGGCUCGCCCCAACACAUCGGAACCAUGCAUGAUGCUGACUCGUCCAGGAAACUCAGCACCCACAAGUGUGCCAUGGGUGCUGCCGCCUUCGACGAAAUAAGGAAGUCUAUCCCGAGAAUCACUCCAAAGUCAUCGAGUGGCCCAACAGUGAGAUUAGCCUUGCCCCUUCACGGGCCGAUGGCUAUCUCCACACCUUUGGCAACUCUCACGAUCGGCCACGACUCAAAGUUGACCACCUUGAUGCGGCUCGCAUCCUUCUCGAGUGUGAGGCCCAACCGCUUGGCCUCCGCCUCCGCAACAAAGUUGUGCGUCGUCGAUGUCGAUCAUCGCUCACGUGGUCCUCCCGUUGAGGAUCAAAUCGACGAACAUGAGCUCCCUCCUGUGGAGCUUGGUGCUGCUUGGUUGACCGCAAAUUGCGCUGACGAGCCUUAGCGCACCCAUCCUCGACAGCUUGACCACGUCUUCGCCCUCAGUUUGGACCCCAGCAACUUGCUUUCCUUCAUGGUUGCCCCUUUUUAGGCAGUCCCGCGGCCAAUGAUUCUCAUCGCAAACAUAGCAAAAGAUCUUUGCAGGCGGUGAGGCGGGAUUCUGUUGUCGCCUCCUCAUUCAUGGUUUGGCUUGUGCCCCCUCGCGCCCCCUGGCUCAUAGUGCCCUCCCCCACCUUUGGCCUCGCUCCCGUUUGGUGGUUCACCUCGAUCGCCCUCGAUUCGCUCCCGCUCGAGCAACUUCUCUGCUAAAGCGAUCACGGAGUUCAAGUCCUUCAUGUCUCGCGCCACAAGCUCCUUGUUCGCCCACGGCUCAAGGCCAUCUAGGAAGAAGAAUAGUCGAUCCUUAUUGGCAAUGUUGGAGAUCGCCAACAUGAGUUUUGAAUACUCUUGGUCAUACUCCUUGAGUGUACCCCGAUGUUUGAGCCGUCGAAGCUGCCUCCACACAAGAUAUUCGACAUGCGCGGGAUGGAACUAUGCCUUCAACUCGCGCACGAAGCCCUCCCAAGUCUUUAGCUCGCAUUGGCCCCUCACGGCCUCUACAGAACACCGUCACCACCAUAGCAUUGCGUUGUCGGCGAGGUACAUGGAAGCGGUUUUGACCAUGUCGUCCCCGUCCUCCAACCACAGCACCUUCAGAUAGGACUCUAUGUGCCAUACGAAAUUGCCUAUCUCCUUCUCAUCACACAUGCCCUUGAAGCAUUGGGGUUCAAGGAUGCAAAUCUUUGAGGUGUACUUCUUUCGCACAUCGACGCCGCGAGGCACCUUCUCAAGAAUGGUCACCUGCAUCUUGAGGUCCUCAACCUCGUCGACCGUGGUGACAUAAGUCCUCCACCAGCACCUUCCACUCGUCCUCGCGAUAAGCGAGGUCUAUCGCGAGGUCCCUGCAAAACUCCUCGAGCUAAUGGCCAAAAAUCGUCAUAGCAGUCGCGAUGCUGUCCUCGAUAGCAUCAUGUAACAUAUCACUUCCCCGUAAAUCGUGCCGAGUUCCGUCUAAAUGUGCGGAACGCGGAGUGGAACAAGUCGGUAUGGGUCCUAAGUGUAUUGGAACCCAUAUAUAUAGUAAAGGGACCCGAGAGAGUGAAAAUUGCAAUUCUGGCUAAGUUCCAGAAUUUUAGACUCUCGGGGACCGAUCCCUGCAGGGAGAGACCGGUCCCAGUAUGCGUAGCCUGCCCAGAAAGCUGAAAAAUCGGCUAAGUCCUGGAAGACUAGGCUACGGGAACUGGUCCCUGCGAGGAGAGACCGGUCCCCGUAGGUGAAAAAGUUAGGAAAUGGCUAAGUCAGGAAAUAUUGCUCUCGGGAACAGGUCCCUGCGGGGAGAGACCGGUCCCUGUGCGCUCAGUCAACCCGAAAAGAGUGAAAAUUUGGCUAAGUCCUGAGAGGUGUACUCUCAGGGACCAGUCCCUGUAGGGAGAGACCGGUCCCCGUAUGCGAAAAUUGCCCAGUUAGGCUGAAGUGAAAAAUAGAAAGUUGAGGGACUUGUGGGCAAUUGUGACAUGAGAUGGGUGUAUAUGUGAGAGAGCAUAGUGUUAGGGCUCAUUUGCUCCCACACCAAGCAUAAUAUCUCUUUCUCUCUCUCUCUAAAACCUUCUCUUCUCUCCUUCUCUCUCUCUAGGGUUGAUCAAGAGAGGCUUUUGGAGAGGUCUUGGUGGAGAAGAAGAUCAAGAUAGAGGUGUUGCUUGCUAUUGAGCAAGUGUACAAGGAAGAGCUUGAACCAAAGGUGAGGUUUCUUGGUUUUAAGCUAGGUUUUGGGUUCGUUUCCGUCUAGCAUGCUAGAGGUUUUUCCCCCAUAGUAUCCAUGCUAGGGACUAGUUUUGGGGAAGAUGACAUUAUAUAAGGACCUAUACUUAGGGUUUUGUAAUAAUGAGGUCGAAGCUUGGGUUUGAUCUCAUUUUAACCUAAUUGGUUGGUCAACGAACGCGUUGGUGCGCUCGGUUCGGCGAUACGACGAGCAUGCGCGGAGAUAUUGAAGAAACUGGUUAAAUCGGUACAGAUCGCCGUAGCUCCCGGCGAAAGCAUCUGAAAAUCAUGAAAAUUGGACCACGGCAUCCUAGUAGCACUGAAAGGUGGGGGGUGUUGUCCGGAAACACCGGAUCUCUUUCUAUAUCUAUGUCACUUCAUUUGAGCAUAUUGAUGUUAGCAUUUAUGCAUGUAGGGUAGCUUACUAUGUGUUCUUGGUCGAAUUGCAUUUAGAUGCUUAAGGAAUAUGUGAAAUGAUAAAGAACCAGGUGAACCAGGUAUGAAAGAACCCUAUGUGUAUGUGAAUGCGAGAACGGACUAUGACAAUAGUGAACAAAGGUGACAUUGACAUUAGUGACCAGAUUGGCACCGAGAAGGUAAAUGACUAAACAAGGUUUAGCUUAUUAUUGGCAUCCGGACCAUUGUGGCUUUGUGUAUUGAGACAGGUUUGGCAAGACUUCCUCAAAUUGAGGAUUGGAUCGUACUCACACUAGCUAUGGCUUGAGGACGGUAGCUCCUCCUCAAGUGGUGUACUCCGGAGUGUAGACACCACGGGGAGAGGCCCCGUCAUCGUUCUCUCGGGUGGUAGUGCUAGUAGCCUCCCCCGGUAGACGGGAAUCGUGGUUUGUGAGUUUCGGGUGAACCAAGAGUACCCCAGGGUGAUUGGGUAAGGGCCAAAAGAAAAGAAAAUAAACGAGAAAGGACAUACAUGCAUAAUUAUCAUGUACUGGUAUAUCUAUCUAUCUGUGGAUUGCUUUCUUGCAGGCAUUGUAAUAGUUUUGCAUUAGUUGGUUUGCAAUCUAUCGUUUCUUGAAUUACAUAUGCCUGAAAUAGGCCUAGUGGGCGAAUCGGCGCGGUCGGCGGGCGAACCCAUUGGGAACUUCGUUCUAGUUCUCAUUACCACUAACCCUGCAGAUCCGUGUGCGAGCGGGGCGGCGAAGGAUCGAGGCAAGGGUAUUGCACCGUAGCUAGCGGCCUCGGAGUAUAGGCAUACCCUACAUUUUGAGUAUUCAACUUUUGUAUGUUGAACCAGUAAGGAUAAUGAUGUAAUUCAUGUAUUUUGGGUUAAAGACCAAUGUGAUGUAAAUGAAUGAAUGUAAAUAUAAUAGUUUACUUGUGUUUGAUUCAAAGGUAAUCAAAUGACAUGUAGGUGGAUGAAUGAUUAAUUAGUAUCGAUGCUUUCACGUGUAUGUUGUUGUUUGCUCUCGUGCAAACCUUGUAUAUCUUGCAAUCUCUUUGUUGACUUGUUUGUAAUAUACAUGUUGAUUGAGCCUUGGGCGGACAGGGGAGGUGUUGUCCGUUCGGCGUCUGUUCGCGUGCCCGAACUGACCAAAUUGGCGGCCCCGGAGCAUGACAAUGCAGCCUAUCCUCUAUUAUCCCCACAUAUUGGGAGAAGACGGAAUAGUGCUCCUCCGCUUUCACGGCAGAGUCCUCCAGCAUGCUCAUGCAGUGCUCGAGCAAGACAGACUCUCUUGCCAGAGUCCGCGGCUCCUUGCUCUUGCCGCACUAGGUCGCCCUGGGCUCAGUCACAACGUCACCGAUGGCAGCUUCCAACGUAGACAUGGCUUCCCAGCAACAAACUCUCUCUGAUAUCAAUCGUCACAGACUUAAGCUAAAUUGCUUGUUUAGCCCGUGCGGCGCUCACCUUCCUUCAUAAAGUGAGCAAGCCUACCUCUCUACUUGUAACGUAUCGUAUCCCCGUCGAGCUGUACCGAACUUUCGUCAAAACGACCGAAGUGCGGAGUCGGACGAGUUGGAACGGUCCGCAAUGUAUUCCAAAUGCUUUGGAAUUGCUUGUGAAGGGUCUAUGGACAUAGGAGAGCAAGCUGGGAAAGUUGCAGCUCGAAAACUCCAAUUUUUGCUCUCGGGGUCCGGACCCUGCACACGGUCCGGACCUCGUAGCCGAAAACGGCUAGGGCUGAGUUGCCCUGUUUUGUGUAUUCGAGAGGGGGUUAUGUGUGAUUGUGUUUGUGUGUAUAUAUGGGAUGGUUAGGGUUUUGGCCUCAUUUCUUCACACUCAACACCAAAAGGAGUCCCCUUUCUCUCUCUAAAAACCUCUCUCUCUCUCCUUCUCACUCUCUCACUAGGGUUGUGCAAGAGAGGCUUUGGGUGGAGAAGAAGCUUGCUUGAGGUGGAAGAUAGCUAGUGCAAGGGGCUUAGAGGAAAGCUUGGAAACCUAAGGUAGGUUUUCAUGAUUAUUAGCUAGGGUUUAAUUACUUCCUUCUAGUAUAUGUUUCUAGGAGUUGAAAUGGUGGAUUUGGUCAUGCUUCUCCAUGUUUAGAGGACUUAUUUGGAGAACAUGAUAAAAUCUAGGGUUAUAUUAGGGUUAUGCAGAAUAUGGGAUCUAAGUUGGAAUUGAUCUCUUGUAGCCCUAAUUGGCGGAUAAUCUGACGCGUUGGUGGACUCGGUUCGGAAUUCCGACAAGUCUACGCGACGAUUUUGGGGAAAAAGCCUAUUUUGGCUUCGUUUCGCCGCAGUCGAGAGAAAUCGGCGUCUAUAAAUCCGAGACUUGAACUGUAGCUUCUCGACAUCCCUACAAGGUGGGUGGUGCUAUCCGAAAUCACUGAAUUUCUCAUUAUGUCUAUGUCGCCUUUUUUUGAGCAUGUAUGUGUUGUAGCAUUCAUGCAUGAUAGGGUAGUGUGAUAUGUGAUUAUGAUUGGGAUUCAAUUGUAUGGUUCUAUGUAGGUGAACAUAUAAAUUGAUAAGGAACCAUGUAUGUUGGAACCCUAUACUUGUAUGAAUGAGAUGUUGGACUAUGACAAUAGUAAACAAAGGUGACAUUGACAUUAGCGGGCAUGAAUUGGCACCAAGGAAAUGAUUUGCUAGACGAGGUAUAAACCUUUGAGCAUUGUGGCAAGUGUGGCCAAGUAUAUGAUAUACUAGACAAGGUAACAUCCUUUUGAGCAUUGUGGCAAGUGUGGCCUUGGGCAUUGUGGCUUAUAGCAAGUUUGGCUAUGCGUCCUCAAAAUUGAGGGGGAUCAUACUCACAUAGGGUCUUGGCUUGAGGGCGGUAGCUCCCCCUCAAGCGGUGUGCUUCGGAGUUGUCACCACUGGGUGUAGCAGAAUUCUCCCCAGAAGACAGUCCCUCACGUUGUAGCAGCAGAGUCUCCCCGAUCGACAGGGAUUAUGGUUGUGAGUUAUUGGGGUUAACCAAGUGUUAACCGAGUUAAUUGGGUGAAAGCCAAGGUGAAUGAAAAGGGGUCUGCGGCCGAACCCACUGGAAACUUCUUUUAGUUCUCACACCACUAACCCUGCAGAUCCUAGUGCGAGCGGGGCAGACGAGGAUCGAGGCAAGGGUAUUGCGCCGUAGAUAGCGGCCACCGGAGUUUAGUCGUACCUGUGUAUACUCAACUUUUGUAUGUUGAACAAAUGAUGUAUAAAUGUAUAAAGAGAUGUAAUCCAUAUGUUUUGGUUGGAUGAAUCAUGUGAUGUAAGUACAUGUAUGAAAAGAAAGGAAAUGGAUAUAAUAGGUAUAGUUCACUUGUAUUUGGUUUACAUGUAAUCAAAUGACAUGUGUGGAUGAAUGGUUUAGUUUAGUACUUAUUGUUGUUGUUUGCCCUCGUGCAAACCGUGUAUACUUGCAUUCUUCUUGUAUUGAAUUGCUAUUGUUAUACAUUAGUUGGUCGAGCCUAGGGCGGACAGGGGAGGUGCUGUCCGUUCGGCGUCUAUUGACGUGCCCGAACCGACCAAAUUGGCGGUCGCGGAGCGUGACACUACUUACUUAGGACCUACUCUCCUAGAUUAAGAACGAAAGAGAGAGCGUUUGAGGAAUGUUGUGUAUUGAUAAAAGUUGACAGUACAGCUGAUUUCCUAAGGAGAGGGGGUAGAGGCCACAACCUUAUAGAGGCUACUCGUCACCUAGGCUACAAAUGAAAAGAUGCCAAGUGGCGCAUAAUGACAAGGCAAAGAGAAAGGCUACAAGGUCCCAGGAGACUACAAUUAUUGCCCACCUAGAAACUCUAAGGACUCUUGACCCUUCGGCAUCCGCACCAUUAGUCUUGAGAUCCGCGUAGAAGCUUCUAGAAUGCCCCAGCAAAACCUCUGACAGAAUGCUCCUUCGGAGAUUGGGCCACUGUCAAGGAGAAAGUAACAUCUAGUUCUUCUUAGAGAUGCUUAGUGAUUUACAAUUGUAGAUUGCAAUAGCAAUUCAUGAAUUAAAUGAAGACAAGCAUGUAAAAUUGUAUUAGCUCACAUAGGCACGCAAAUAUAAAUAAAUAUGUUAUUUAUUUGUUUAUUCAUGAAAAAAAAAGGAAUUACUAUUUGGAUAAAAUUUAAUAAAUGCUACACAAUUUCCAAAUUCAAGUCCAACUAGCAAUACGUUUAUCUCCUAACAAAAUAGAUCAGAAGAUAAAGACUUCAAUGUUCUCAAAUUGAAUAAGAUGAAAUCCAAUUGACCUAAAAAGUGAUUCUCGCCAUGACUUCUUCAAAUACAAAGCAUAUGACAGAUCAAGAUCCUUCAGAGUGGUACUUUCACAAAUGUUCUCCUUGUUUGUUGACCUUCCUUGAAGAGAUCCCUUCAAGUCAUACCUGUGGUGAAUGCGCAACUCAGUGCAGAACAUAUUUCCCAUCACCACAAAACGGACCUGCAUAGGGGAAGUGUAGAAUAGCAGACAGCAUCAAGUAUUUACAAAGUCAGAGGAACAUAUUGACAUAUAUUAAAAAGUUACCUUCUGUCCACGUCUUAUUGUUAUCCUAUGCAGACCAAAGAACUUUGUUAUAAGGGUGUUGUCAUGAGCUCCUACAUGAUUGUAAUACCGAGGAAGCAUUUUCAAAAGAAUCUGCAGCAAAAAGUUACAUAAUUGCAAGAAAUAAUGUCAUAUCCAAUGUUACUGCUGAACAAAAUAUUAAUAAUCAUUAGUUAUUAUGAGAUAUGCAGUAGGUGGAAAAUGUUCUUGAAGCUUGAGCGGUGGACCCAUCGUGUUACCUCAGACUAGAUUGAUGCUCACUUUGUACGUUGUACAUGACAUUCAUUUUCACUAUAUACAUGACUUGAUUUCAAUGUGGCGGUCUGACCUACUAAUUAUACAUUCAUUUUCACUAUAUACAUAUAUACAUGACUUGAUUUCACUAUACACUACUUUAAUCUUGGCAUUACAUUCACUAUCAUGCUUGCUAUAAUUGCUUAAUAUGUUACUAACUUACUACGAACGUUCACUCUAACAACUGGGCACUGUUGUGUUAAUUACAUUAUUCUCCACAAAAGAGUGUUUUAGUGAACAAUUUAAUAUAAGAAACUGCCCUAGACUAUGACCUGGGAGCAAAGAUUUAAGUGCCCAUCGGCACGGGCCAUAUCAAUUAUGCCAUAUCGUGCCAACAAGAUAUCGGCACCAUAUAGCCCCCCGUGCCAAUGGCACAUCUCAAAACCCCUUAUUCUUUAAAUUAACAAGUAAUUUUUUCAAUGAAGUUCAAAAGAUUUGAUAAAAAAAUAUAAUAAAUAGUUAGAAUAUUUUGUUGCUAAAGAAAAUAAAUAUUUCAUGCCAUUAUGUGUCGGCACACAUAUUUUUUGUGAUCGGCACGCAUUGGCACCGCCCAAAAAAGCACGGACGAUGUCGUACCGUGCCAACAAAUUUCCAACACAACCCUGUGCCACGGCACUUAAAUCCUUGCCUGGGAGUAGGGAUGUCAAUGAUUAUAGAUACUCGAACCCGAAUGGGGCUGGUUUACCCAAUGCUAAACCAAUAUUGUAUGGGUUAUGAAUAUAAAAAAUAAAAACCAAUCGGAUUCAAGUUUGGGUAGAUAUUGUCUGUACACGACCUGGUCCUAAACACUUGUUUAAACCUAAUUACAACAUUUGGUAUUCAUGUUCACACGCCUGUACACUUGUUUUAUCUCAAACUUAUGAAUUUGUUUCAUUUCUGUGUAAAACCUCUUUGUUCAUUUUCAAUCAUUUAGUUUUCUCUCUGAUGCACACGAUACUUUGCCUCACUUUACAAGUGAUGCAAACCGGGAGGUUGCCAAAAUUGAAUUUUCAAGUUUGCUUUUGUUUAAAGGUAUUUCUUGAAAUAAACUACAUUCAAUUUAUCGAUUCCGACAAACUUCCUAUAAUUAAAGCAAGGAAGCAAAAAUUUCAGCAAGACAAAUUAAAAUCGAAUUGAAGCAAUACAAAGAGGAUAAUAAACUUUCAAUAUAUGAGUUAAUAACAACCAACUGAUAAUACAUAUAAUAGUUCCAAAAGGUAAAUUCGGCUUUAUCGGACUUAAAAAGUUCUUACAUUUGGUUGUUUGGCAAAUAUGAUUGGUAAUGGUGGAGGGCUAGAUUGAAAGGGAUAAUAGAAUAUCAGGGGAUGAGAGAUACAAAAAGUGCAUCGUUCACACGAUUGCGGGGGAUCCACGAUCGACGAGGGCAGUACACCAUGGAUAGAACUUCGGCAACGGGGAAGAAGAAGAAGAGGCACGAAUCCGAAAGAAGAUGAGGGGUAGAAAUAAAAGCCGAUCUUGUCAUGAGGAAGAAGCGACAAAGAUCAAGUUAAAGAAGAAGACGAUCUCGGCGUGAGGAAGAAGUGUCAAUGAUCUCACAAGUAGAACAUCGAGGAUAAAGAAAAAGAGUAGAAACUUCUAUUCAUCAAAAUAUGUCCCUUAAGGCAUCAAGAACUAUGUAUUUAUAAUGUUGAGAGCCCUCCUAUGAUAAAUUAUUGUCCUUCUAUUUUCAACACAACACAGCCACCCAAGGAUCAUGCACAGAAGACGAAGCAAUUUUGGAAAUUCCAAAGGUCCUUUUGAAGAAUGCCAAAGGUCUUUUUGGAAUUGUUUCUUUGUUUAUUGGCUAAAUUACUGAAAACUCCCCCGUCAAAACGCGAUUUUUCACUUUCCCCCCCUGUCAUUUAAAAACCUACACUUUGCCUCCUUGUAAAAUAAAAAAUGUGCACUUUGCCCCCUACCGUUAGUGAUCCGUUAGGGUUCCGUUAUAAAAUAUUUUUUUAUACCAAAAAUACCUCUCCGCCUCCUUCCCUGUUGCUUCGCCGCCUCGCCUCCUCCACUGCUUUACCUUCACCCACGCCCACAUCCCCGUCCGCGCCCGCAAACAUCCCUUCGCCCUCCUCCGCCGCCUCGCCUUCGCCCUCGUUGCCGUUACCCACCUCUCCAUCCACCCCGACCUCGAUUUCCACCCUACUGUCGCCGAAAUCGAGGGGCGGCGAGGGUGCAAGAGAAAAGGGGAGCAAGUGGAUAAGAAAAUGGAGAGAAACUGCAGUUGAUUGAGGCGUAAACCGUGGCCGAUCGAGGCUGCUGUUGAGGAAGAUGAGGGAGGAGACGACAAUGGUGAGAGGGGCAAAAUGGUCAUUUUACCAUCACAAUACACACCGUACCCCUCCUGUGAACAUUUUUUAUUUUACAAGGGGGCAAAGUGUAGGUUUUUAAAUGACAGGAGGGGAAAGUGAAAAAUCGCGUUUUGACAGGAGGGUUUUAUGUAAUUUAGCCUUGUUUAUUGGAGAAAAGCGUUAGGGUUAGCCAAAUCAACUAAAACUAAAUGAUUUAAGUCCGAAUCAAACACGAACCUACAAAAUAAAAGAAAUUGCAUCAGAAAAUAAAAUGAGGUUUAUUUGUUGCAUCAAUUGUAAGGACUGAGAAUUUGACUGUACAGCUAUACUCUCUGUUGACAAUAUUUUUGUGUGUAUUUUAAUUACAAAAGCACCCGUCAAGUUUCGGGAGAAAACGAGCUAGAAUGGAGAUUUUACGCGAUCUUUACUUUUCACUUAAAGUGAAUACUAACUCGGGUUUCCGAAGAGGCCAAUGAGUAGAGAUGGCUUCUGGCGCGUAUCGGACUCCGUUCAUAGCAAUCCAAUAGCUCGUUUUCAAUGGUCCGACUCAAGGUAUUAGGUACCGCCUCGUGUCGUACGGCACGGGGCGUGCCGUACCUUGCCCCCAAGAAGGGGGCACAGUACAGGGGGGGUAUCGCACCCCCCCGAGUCUCGCGGCACGCCUUUGGGUGCCGCUCGAGACAAAGCGGCACGCUGGUGCGUGCCGCCCUUUUUUUUUUUGGCUUUUUGGUUUUUUUUUUUUUUUUUGUUCUCUAGGAUCCCCCCUCCCAAGGCCAUCUAUAUUGCAUUUUUUUUUCACUUUUCUUUUGUUUUUUUGACAUCGUGAUGUCUUUUUGUCAACUUUUUUUUUUGCUUUUUAUCUGAUGCCUUUUUUUUUCCUUUUUUUUUCUUUUAUUAAAUUAAAAUUUUAUAAUUUAACUUCUUAUUUAUCAAUAUAGAAACAAAUUUUUAGUUGACAUAUCAGAUCCAUACCAUAGGCUCGGGCCGACUUCCACCACAAACAUUCAUUUUUUCUUCACAAAAUAUUUUGUCAAAAUUUGUCGCACCGCGAAACUUUCUGUGAAUCAGGGGAACAAUAAUCGAUCUCCUAAACAAAUUUUGAUCAAAAUUUUUUUAAAAGAAUAAAAAAGAAAAAAAAAUGAAUAUAAUUGCGGUACUAUUCUGGUUGUUCUAGUCAUUAUAGACUUCCUAAUUGAAUCAAUAUAUAGAUCUUGAAAUGUUUUUAGAAAAAAUAAAAAUUUCUAUCAUUUUAUCUGUAAUAAUUUUUUAAUUCUAAAAAAAUAAAAACACAAGAAUUUUCAAAUGUUACAGUAUGUAUAGUUGUAUUUUUCAAAUAAAAACAAAAAUAUAAAAACAAAAGAAUUUUAACUUCUAUUCUACAUCAGGUAUAGUUGUACUUUAUAUUCAAAAUAAUUACAUGCAUGUUAAUUGAUGAGUAUAUUGUAAGCUAUACCUAGCAAAUAUUAAUAAUUAUGUCUAAAUCUUUCAAAAUAACAUAAUAAAAACUUAUUGGAAUAAAAAAAACUUAAAUAAGUCCUUGCCAAAGCGUGCCAGUAGGAGGUCAUGUGUAUCCAUCGGCACGCACGCGUACCACAUGUCGGCACGGAAGCGUGCCCGUGCCGUACCGUGCCAGGGAAAGAGCGGCACGCCCCCAUGCCACGGCACUUUAAACCUUGGUCAAACUAUUCUAAAGCCAUUGGCGCUAACGGAUUUCAAAUCUGAUGCACGGUUUUCGAGGAAACUGUAGAUACAUGUAUUCUAUGUAUUUGUGUGCGGAUUUUGCCUAUUGUUGAGAGGAUGAGUUUCGUCGCAAAUCGGUGAUCAAAUCUGACAAAACAAAAUUAUAGAUUCGAUGCCUCAGUCGUGCUGAACGCACUGGCGCGAUCCGAUCAAAAAUCCGACGGACGGAUCUCCAGGAAUCGCAUAAUAUUCGCUGAGGGCUCGAAAUUGGCAAAACAGAAAAUCUGUGAAAAGCCCAAUAUUUUAUGUACCAUUUUGAGUGAUUUCGAACGUCGAGCUGCGCACGCGCGAAACACGCACUGCAAGGGACUGGGCUGAAAAUAGUCAGUUUUGGAGGACUUUUCUGCAAUAUUACAUCAUAUACAUAUGUUGGUGCCCUAACCCUAGCGGACCAGCUACCUCAGCUGUGCCCCAACCGUCACCAGCCACCUCCCAGCCCCUCGCCGCUUGCACCCCGACCGCCGGCGAUCGUUUCCGACCGCCGGAAAGGCCGGCAUUGCCUUUCUCUCUACCUUGUCUCCACCAUAUCGGCCGUCGACCUCGAGGAAUCAACCACACACGCCGGGCCCUCUCCCUCGGCCGAGACCCGACAUCCGGCGUCGUCCCCGCCUGCCCGUGCGCGCCGUCCCCACCGGCCCCCGCCGUCCGCGCGCGCCGUGUGCGCCGCCUCGGCGAUCCACGGCCACCCGCAGGCAGCUCAAGCCGAGCUUGAGCCAGCUCGUCGGGGUUGGCCGUGCCGCGCCGCCCUCCUGGGCCUCCGGAAAAACCCCCGUCGCCGUCGCCACCGUCCCUGCAGGCCCCCGGACGCCGCAUGAACUCCCUGCGGCCACCCUGUGCAGGUUCAGGCCGAGCCAGGGCCAUCCUGGUCCCUGCGCGCCGCUAGCGCCCACCCUCGGCCUCCAGCGACUGGUCGCCGUCGCCCCGGCACUCCCCCCGCCGCCGCCCGGCCGUCGUUGCCCGAGCUGCGUGGGCUCGUACCGCUCCACCGGCCUCCUCCUACCGCCGGCCAGCGCGUGCUCGUACCCCCUCCGACCGGCCGCAACCGCCUCCUGUCGGCACGCCCGCCGUCUGACCGCCGCCGGCCAGCCCAUGCUCCUAUUGGUUCCGGUAAGUUUACUUGCAUGUUUCUGCGCACUAUUUCGGGUUCGGGUUGCUGUUCCGGCGAUCCGAUGGCACCCUGACGCUCUCGGAAGUGAGCAUGACGAUCCCUGAUCUGUGCCGAUCAUCGUGCUCACCUUCUUUGGGGUCAGCGAAGCCUCGGUUUGUGUGCUAAACACUGUUUAGGCACUGCGCGCUAUUUGCAGAAUUUCGCGUCGCUCCCGCGCUCUCCACAGUGCUCGGCCAUGCUCCGAAGCAUGAGCACAGUUUCCGGCACGUCGAGACCUAUCAGCGGGUGUCUCGAGCAGGGUCGAAAGUUCUCGGUUCGUGUUGUCGGGCAGUAAAACCCCAAAAAUUACAUAAAAUGAUGUGAUUUUAUAUAGUCGCGGGGGCUUAUAAGCAAAUUUACAUUUCGUGGUUGCUGUAGGCAGCGUGCGGGCUGCAGGUGACAUCUGGACUGGUUGUCCAAGGCCCCAGGCCUUUUCGAAAAUCGGAUGUCGAUUUUUCGUGUGCUUUUCAGCGAAAUCCGCCGACGGAACGCGAUUUCAGUUUGGAAUUCUUCCGACGGUGCCUCAUGGUAAAUUAUGUCGUCGCUGAGUCUUGUUGGCUGGUCACUCGCGUCAUUUCGAAGGUUCGGAAAUGACGGGUGAGCGACGAUGGGUUCCUGUGUCGAAAUUGACACUUCUGGGAACUCGGAUCGACGAUAAUCGUUUCGAUGUGGGGAGAUGUGUUUGCUGCCAGGUCACACAAAUUAUUGUGUUUAGUGGCAGCAGGUGACUCGUGGUACGAGUCAGUGAGUUCCGGGACAGUUCGUCAGUCCCGGCGAAGUCCCAGUGCGAUUUUUGGGACUUCCGGCGAGUUACAAUAAUCGAUUUUGGGAAACCAACUUCCAUGGGUUUACAGGUGGGGAUUGUGAAUUAGUGGUUCUCAUUAGUGGGUUGAAUUCUAACCCGAUGGACCCUUCGUAGAUCCGAUUGAUAUUCUUCCGCAGUCGGGAGACUAGUUCUAAGUACGUACAGGUGGGUAUUUCGACCGGAAGUCGGUACAGUGGUGCAUGCUCGGUGACAUCUUCUUCCUCCCUCUUUUCUUUUAUUACCCGGCAUAUAUAUGUUGAGCCUAGCACCCUUAUUAUCUAUUUAUCGCUCUACCUGGUUGUUUACAUAUCUAGCAUCAUGAGUAGAAGUAGAGAAGGUUUGUGAUUACAUGUGAGAUCUGUGACCAAGUCGGUCGAUUCUUGUAUCUCGUACUGUGACCUAUUCGGUCGGUUCACUGCAUCUGUUAUUGUGAUCUACUUGGUCGGUUGGACUACUUGGUGACCUACACGAUCAGUACACCCUAAGGGGUAGGGUUGUCGGCUAGUUGCUGAUGGUUGUUUAUUGAGCAUAUUAGCAUCGAUCGCCACUACUCGUACGCAUUUCACGAACACCAGCGGUCUGAUCCACCGCAAAGGGUGUUCUUUAACGAAAAAGUGGUUGAAAAUGCUAGUCCGUGAGCCCAAGAGCUUAUGCUGGGGUUAUAUGCUUUCAGACCCAAGAGCUUAUGUUGGGAUCAUAUACCUUUCCGACCCAAUAGCUUAUGCUGGGGUCAUAUACAGGUUAGAGCACUUCUGGCACAGGUCUGAGGUGUGCGAACCAACAUGGCAGGUUUCUGAUUGUGUUACUUUUGGACUUGUCGUCCGGUUGAUGCAUGCAUACAGUAGCAGUAGUGAUUCAUACAUAUAUAUCUCGUCUCUUGUUUAUCAUUGCUAUUGUAUUACCAUUAUCUAUACUUUUGUUUAUCCUCCUUGACUGGUGAGUACCUCUCGCCCUCGUGGGCUUGCGAUACCCACUGGGAGGGGAGACAUGUGUACAUGUUCUCACCUCCCCACCCCCCUUUCAGGUGACAUCGCUGGUUCGAGUCGGGACGGUAUGUGAGGUGCGCAUCUUAGCGAGCGAUAGAGCUAUCGGCCCGCCGUUUUGGUUAAACUCCUAAACCUAUCUGUUUAAAUAAUUGACUUAGUAUUUAUAGUUCAGUUGGUUUAACAUUAUUUGGAUAAAUGAGGUUUUGUGAAUGGAAUAAAGAACUUAUGGUUUUCGUUUGAGAUGAAAACGGCUUUCUACCCCUCGUGGUAACGUGUUUUAAAAGAAAAAGGUUUCUGUGUGAGAAACGGUUUUAAAAAAAAGUUUUUCUUGGUUUCAUGACUUAGUGUUUCAAAAUGAGUUUCAGAGUAGGAAACAUUUUUAAACUAAUAGUUGUGGAUUUACGGAUAUCUCUGAUGAAAUGAAUGUAAAUGUGAAUGGUGAAUGUAUGUGUAAGGAAUUGAAUUCUCGAUACGUGAAUCCGAAAUUCGAUCGAAAUUGAUCGAAGGCGAGUUCGGGACGCUUCGGAAAGGCCGAACGCGUCGAAAACGGCUUUUAGAGGGUUGUAGAGGACCUUGGAGAGUUGGUAGUGCAAAUCUACACUUUUGCAGAAAUUACCUCUCUCGGGGUCCGAACCAUAGCUUCUGGGUCCGGACCCGAUAGCCCGAUUUCGCCCAGUGCGGGCUGUGCAGAAAACUGAUAGUUAAGGGGGUUUCUUGCAAUUUUGCUAUGAGAGGAGUUAAAGGCUUUUAGAGGCUGAUCUCCUAUACACUGGAGUGAUGUUGGCGAACGUGCGGUAUUAGGCCCCGAUGUCUUGCGGGAGGCGGAAGAGAAGGUCCACCUUGCUCGCCAAAGAUUGGUUACGGCGAAAUCAAGACAAAAGAACUAUGCGAACAAGCGCCAUCGAGAUUUGGAGUUCGCGGUGGGAGACCGCGUCUUUUUGAAGGUUUCACCCAUGAGGGAUGUGAAGCGGUUUAGAGUGCGGGGAAAGUUGAGCCCCCGGUACAUUGGACCUUACGAGGUGUUAGAGUGGAUUGGUGCGGUAGCCUAUCGGCUUGCGUUGCCGCCCAAGCUCGCGGACGUUCACAACGUGUUUUACGUUUCCAACCUUCGCAAGUAUAUCCAUAAUCCCGAGCACGCUUUGUUGUAUGAGCUACCGAAACUUUAAGAAGAUAUGUCUUAUGAAGAGUUCCCGGUGUCAAUUAUUGCUCGGGAAGUGCGAAAGUUGAGAAACCGCGAUAUCCCCUACGUCAAGGUUCGGUGGAGCAAUCACGACAAUCGCGAAACCACGUGGGAACUCGAGGACAUGAUGAAAGCGCAUCAUCCUCAUCUCUUCGAGGAGUUGAGUUGAAGUAUGAGUUUAUGUUUAGGUUGAGUUAGUUUCGAGGACGAAACUCCUUUUAAGGAGGAAAGGAUGUAAGGAAUUAAAUUCUCGAUACGUGAAUCCGAAAUUCAAUUGAAAUUGAUGGAAGGCGAGUUCGGGACGCUUCGGAAAGGCCGAACGCGUCGAAAACAGCUUUUAGAGGGUUGUAGAGGACCUUGGAGAGUUGGCAGUGCAAAUCUGCACUUUUGCAGAAAUUACCAUUCUCGGGGUACGAACCCUAGCUUCAAGGUUCGGACCCCGUAGGCUGUGCAGAAAACUGAUAGUUAAGAGGGUUUCUUGCAAUUCUGCCAUGAGGGGAGUUAAAUGAGGGAUUGUCUCGCUCAUUUCUCUUAUUUACUCCCAAACCUAACCCUAAACACACUCCCUCUCUCUCUAAAGCUCUCUUUCUCUCUCUCUUCAAGGUGGGAUUCAAGAGGAGAGAUUGGUGGAGAAGCAAGCUUGGAAGUUGAUCUUCAUCUUCUUCAUCUUCUUCCUCACCAUUGGAGCAAGCUUUGGAGGUAAGCUUGAUGCCGUUUAAUGGUAGAUCUUUAGGACUUGAAUCUUUUGCUCUAAGAAUGGUUUUAGAUGAACCCUAGGAUGCUAAGAAAAAGGUUAUUGCUUGAAUCAUGGGGUCAUAUGAUGAUUUUUGCAAUAGUAGCAUAUUAGGGCUCCAAAUAGGGUUUUGUAAGAUAUAAGAGUUUGAUCUAAAUUGGACCUAUGUAAACCUAAUUGCUAGGUAUUCUAACGCGCUGGUGAAGUCGGUUCGGCGAUUCGUCGAGCCUACGCGAAGAUAUUGGGAAAAAGGACCAUUUGAGCUUCGUUUUCGCCUGGAAGGCCAAGGCAACGUCCAAAAAUCACGAAACCGGAUUCCUAGCAUCGUGACGUCAUUUAGAGGUAGGGGGUGUCACCCGAAGCAACUGAGCUCCCUUCUGUGUCUAAGAUUGCAUUGUGACCUUGCAUUUCUCAUAUUGUAAAGCAUAGUAGGAUUGUAGUUUGUUGCAUUUCCAUUCCUUAUAUGAUUUCCUAGUCGAUAUCGUAUUGUGGGACGAACACAUGACAUAGUGGAUAUGUAAGGAAAUGGGACUUGACAUUGAAAUCCUAUGAUGCUAAAACAGGUAGAGAACUUGAUAUGUGUAGUGGCAUAACGAGUGGCAUUUAAAUAAUGUUUGAUGACAUAGAUAUUAAGUGGCAUGAUGAAUAUAGUGUAGAUGAAACACUUGAACAUUAGGGAUAGAGGAAUUUCCCAAGUAAUGAUAUGUUGCAUGUGAACUUAGUGUAGUGGGAACACUUAAACACGAACAUUAGGGAUAGUCGAGUUCCCGCAUUGUUGAUUAGCCCUAGAUGGUAGGGUAUCCUCAGUUGGCGAGGAUUGGAUCAUACUCAUAUAGUCUAUUUUCGCUAGGCGUGGUCGCUCCACCCAAAUAGUGAGCUCCGGAGUCAUCACGUGAUGAACUAACGUACAUGUCCAGCAGACGGUCUCGGGUUUGCGAGCAGGAGGGUCACCUUACCUAUGGGAUUGCACUGUGAGUCAUGGGCAAACCUUCGGGUUAGCCAAGUGAUUGGGUGAACAUAUGAAUGACAAGUUUAUUGAACAUAGUAGCAUGAUAGUUGACAUCAUUACUAUAUAGUUCUUGCAUGCAUUCAUAAUGAUUGAGGCAUAGUAGUUCAUUUGUGGAUUUCGUUAUUAUAUAGCAGUUGAUUGCAAAUUUAUCUAUCUACUUAUGCCUGCUUAGACCUAGUGGGCAGAUCGGCGGAGUCGGUGGCCGAACCCACUGGGAACUAUUCGUAGUUCUCACCCCACUUUGUUGCAGGGCCGAGUUCGAGUACACCGGGCGAGGAUCGCGGUAAGGGCAUAGCGCCCUAGUAGCUAGCAGCUUCCAUUUUGCAUUAGAGUACCCUCGUGUACACGGUUGACAUGUGAUGUAGAUGUAUUUUGGGAGUUACUUAGGUAUCUAGAUGAUGAACUUGUAAAUCUUAUGUAUACAUUUUGGGAGAUGGAAAUGAAAACUGAUGUAAAUGGUUGAAUGAAAUAUAAUAGUUAGUACACUCUCUCUCUUUUGCUCUCUUGUAUGCUUGUUUAGCUACUUGCUUGGAUCAUGUACAUUGUUUAAGUUUUCUGGGCAACUUAUUGUACUUGAUUGUCAUUGUUAGCCUUGGGCGGACAGGGGAGGUGCUGUCCGUCCGGCGUCUGUUCGACGUGCCCGAACCGACCAAAUUGUCGGUUGCGGGGUGUGACAGUAUGUGUAUGCUUAUACGGUUGUGGUUGUAUAUUGUACUUGUGCGACGCCGUGCAAAUAGAGAGGAGACUCUGUCCGUGUGAACAGUGAACAUCCUGUAUUUGUGGCUGAUCUGACAUACUUUGGGGUCAAGGUUUUCAAAAAAAAAAAAAAUUGGGCACGGGCAUUUCCGCAUUGGCUUUUAAACCCAAUAGGGAGCCCGGGGCGUAACAUCUCGAUUCCGUCGAGAUGUCAUCAUGAUAGCUCUGGUAUAAGUUCUCUCGAAGUUGGCGCGACUCCGCCUCAGAAAUCCAACUACUAUCGGGCAAUGGUCAUCCACGCCAACACACCAAGUAUCAGCGAUGAGUACUACCUCGCGUCGCAGACUCGCGCACAUCCAGAAUAUCCUCCACGCUAUCUGAUGGAGUUUCAAUGUCGGAGCGAGAUGUCAAGCCGUCAAUAUCAACAGUAGAUAGGGUUUCUCCAGUCCAUAGUACUCGUACUGUCGUACAGCUCGCUGACACUGAAGAUCGGGAAGGUCAGUACUUCCUAGGGUCGAUCAAUUAGAUAAUCGUUUUUCCCCAAUUUUUUCAGAAUUUUGAAUGGCUCAUACUUUUUCCUGUUCAACUUGCUAUAGCCUCCAGCUGGGGAACCUUUCUUUCCUAAAAUAGAUUAAGACAUUAUCUCCUUCAUUAAAAGUCAUACCUCAGCGAUGUUUAUCAGCUGACUUCUUAUACUUGACAGUGGAAUCCCGCAACAUCCAAUGAACCUGUUGUUGCACCUCUUGAAUCUGUUUUAGGUAAUAGUCGGCAUCUGCACUAACUCUACCAGGGUAAGGUAUUGGUGCUCGGUCAAGAACGUGGGCUAUAGCUGGCCAUAUAAAGCUUCAAAAGGAGAUUUUCCAAUGCUUCGGUUUAUGGAAUUGUUAUCCGCAAAUUUAGCUUGAGGUAAAAUUAAAUCUCACUAUGUUGGCUUUUCUCAAGCUAAACAUCUUAAGAGAUUACCCGAAGAUUGAUUAACUAUUUCCGUCUGCCCGUUAGUUUGUGGAUGGUAUGGGCUACUGAAAUUCAAUUUGCUUAUUGCUUUUGACAUUAAAGUCCUCCAAAAAUGACUAACAAAUUUUGUAUCUCAAUUAGAGGUAAUUGAUUUAGGAAUGCCAUGUAAACGUACAAUUUCAUUAAAAAAUAAUUUUUGCAAUAUGUGAUGCAUCAGAAGUUUUCUCACAAGGAAUAAAAUAAGCCAUUUUCGUAAAACGAUCAACCACAAAAACUAAAUCAACUUGGCGUGCAGUCUUGGGUAGGCCUAGGACAAAGUCCAUGGUAAUAUCCUCCUAGGGCAUAGUGGGAAUGUGCAGGGGAGUAUACAAGCCAGUAUUUUGAGUUUGUCUUUUAAAUGAUUGACAAGUUUUACACCGCUGAACAAACCUUACAAAGUCCUUACUUAUUUUAGGCCAAUAAUACCGCUCUUGAACUAAUCCCAAAGUCUUGUCUCUCCCGAAAUGUCCCCCUAGCCCACUACUAUGCAGAUUCUGAAUCAAGGACUCUCUUAACGAUCCUCAGGGAAUGCACAACUUGGACUUUCUAAAAAGAUACCCGUCGUCCAAACAGUAAUCAAAAGAUGAAUCAUUGUCAGAAGAUAGGCACUUUUCUAGGAUAGUACUGAAUUUAGGGUCAUUUUGAUAUUGGUCCUUAACUACCUCAAAUUCUACCAUCUGUAAGAAGUGAUAAGCAAAUGGUUUCAACGGUUGAGUGGAUCAGCGACUCGAUUAGCAAUGCCUUGUUUAUGCCGCAAAUGAAAAGUGUAUUCUUGCAGGAAUGCAGUCCACUUGGCAUGUCUUUUGUUCAAGUUCUUAUGAGAAUUUAAAUAUCGCAAUGCUUCAUGAUCCGAAUUAAAAAUAAACUCUCGAUGAAUAAGUAGGGCCGCCAAUGUUUCAAAGCCUGCACAAUCGCGUAAAAUUCAAGAUCAUAAGUGGAGUAACGCGCUCGUGCAUCGUUCAAUUUUUCAUUAAAGAAGGCUAUAGGACGUUCCUCUUGAGACAGUACACCUCCAAUUCCGAUGUGUGAAGCAUCACAAUCAAUCUCAAACACUUUUUCUAUAGUGUACUGGAUUUUAAUAUGAAAGUAAGUGUAAAUAAAAAUGGUGGGAGGUACUAUUUUUAUUGGACUUAGAAAAAUAAAGUAUAAGUCGGAAAUGACUUGUGCUGAAAUUGAAAUGAAAACAGAAAAUUUAGAAUUUUCUGUAAAAAACGGAGCUUAUUUUUUAGCAAAAAAUUCACAGUGCCAGAAAAUUAUGAAAAUUUGAGAAUAUGUCGGAAUUAUUUUUCUGAGGCUAGAUUUAAAGUUUCAUAUCAUUCCGACACCCAGAAAGUGGAAACGGAACAUAAUAGCAAUUUGAUAGAGAUUUUAUUUGGUAGACUUUUCGGUGACCAAAAAUGGUUCGAAACUGAAAAAUUAAAAUAACGUUAUUCUGAUUGAUUUUAACAGAGCCUGACUGUCAAAUUUGAAUGCAAAUGGACAUUCAGAAGGGCUCCGACGAAAAGUAUCAGAUUUAAACUGAGCUGGAGAUGUAAUUUCUAAUAAGUGCAGGGGGUUCCUGCGAAUUUGGCUAGCCUUCUUCUUCUUCUUCUCCAACUUGAAGAUUUUGGUGGAGAUUGAGCUCGGGAUGCUUGGAGGAAUGGAGUGGAGAAUCGAGCUCUCGGGCACUUGGUGAAUCAGAGCGCUUUCGACUUGAGGUUCGUUUUUGGGUUAAGAGAUUAAGGAUUUGGAUUUUAAUUUGGAAAGUAGAUUUUGGUGAACCCUAGGCUAGUCUAAGCUCCGAAUUGGUAGAGAUUAGUAUGAGAUUGGAGGAUUUUCUUGAAUUGUGAGAAUCUAGGGUUUAGAAAGGAGCUUUUGCAAUUAUAGGAUUUUGAUCUAAAUUGAUCCUGUAAUCCUUUAAUUAAAGGUUAUGGAUGGAUGCCUAGUAGCUUCGAUUCAAAUAAUAACAAUAUUUCGGCGAUCAAUUGGAGGAAACGAGCCGAUUCAUGAAGAUUUGGGUUUGUUGGGCUUAAAGCGCGGCAAAUCGUCAUUGGGAGCCUAAUUGCAAGUGUCUACAAGCAAUUAGGAAGCGUGUGAGGUGCGUUGUGCUUCACCGAAGUGAUUAGAUCACUUCCACGUCGAAAAAGUAAAGUUUAAUAUUGUUUUACUUGAUGCAUGUAUUAGUAGUUUAAUUGGUAAUUGUGCAUUUAUAGAGCAUGUGAUUCUAAAUGAGGAACUACUAUUGUACAAGAUUUAAUUAUGUGCAUAGACCAAGAUAUACAUAAUUGUAAUUAUGCAUGUUAGGGUUCAAGUUAUGUAUUGUUAUUAUUAUUUGCAUGUUUCCUAAAUUAGAAGUAGACAACUAUUGUUGAGAACUCUAAAACUCAGGAUGCACGAAUAUAGUGCCAUGUGAACCCUAGAGAUGCAAUGAACUAGUAGAGUAAACUAGUUGUAUGGACAUAGGUUGAAAAACAUAGUGGUAGGAUGACCACUUGGAUUGGAAUGUCAUUGAACCUAUAGUCGAGUGAACCUAUGUGGGAAAGACAUAGGACCUAGUGUUGUUAAACCUAGGUAUGAAAAUAUAGUGGUAGGAUGACCACUUAGACAAGAGAACAUAAACCUAGAGAGGUUGACAAUUUAGGGUAAAUGAUGAACCCUUGAGACUUGGAAUGGAAAAUGAUGUGCACAUCUAAUGAGUUUGGUAUGUGAGUCAUCGUUCGGCGUGUGCAGCGAUUUCGCCGCCAGAUGGAUUUUGGUGCGACGAUUUCGCCGCGGAAGGCUGGAUACCCGAGGUGUGUGCGACGAUUUCACUGCCUAGGGACUUGAGCCAUUGUUCGACGUAUGAGACGAUUUCGCCACCAGAUGGCUAAGUCAAGUAAAGGAUUACACCACCCGGCGACUUAAGCCAUUGUUCGGCGUGUGCGACGAUUUCACUAUCAUAUGGCUAAGUCAAGUAAAUGCGGUAAGCUGUGGAUGAUUGAGUUAAGACCGAGUCGGGUGAUAUAGCUUGGCUAAGGUAAGAGAACCUUAGGAACGGAUUGGAACUGAGAUAGAUAGUGAAAUAGAAAAGUAGAAAAGGAAUACCUUUUUGCAUGGAUUUCAUUAUUGCAUUUAGUUGAGGCAUAAGCAUGUUUUAUUACUUGCAUAUAGUUGAGUUAUAUGUUUAUAUACUGGACUAACUUAUGUUGCCUCCUUUGGACCUGGUGGGUCGAGUUCUUUCCUUGGGUGGCCGUACCCACUGGGAACGAUGUUUAUUGUUCUCACCCCCAUGUUUUUUGGGUCCUCAUGUGAGCGGUGCGGCGACGCAGGGAAAGGUCGUAGCUCAGUAGAUAGUGCCCUACCACUUGUGACCAGAGAUAGAUGUACCCUCGGUCAGCAUAGCGUAGGGUAUGGAAAGAAAAGAAAGAAACAAAAUUGUAAUAAAGUUGAUUGCAUUUGGAAAAAUGUAAAUGUAAUGUAAAGUGAAUGCUUGUAAUAGCGUAGUUGUUUAUGUUUUUGAUACCUCUUUAUGCAAUCUAUGUAUGCAUUCUGUUCUUGGUCGGAACAUCGUGAAUUGUACUGAUUGUGACAACUUGGACGUACAAGAAAAACUCUGUCCGUUCGGCGAUCUGUGUGAGUGCCCGAACCGACCAAAGAGGCGGUCUCGAGGCGUCACAUUUUCAACGUCAGGCAAGGCAAGUACUGGAGCCUUUGCAAGUUUGUCCUUAACCAAUUGAAAACUUAUUUCAGCUUCAAAUGUCCAAGUAAAUUUACCCCCUUUUAGGCAAUCAGUUAUUGGCGCAAUUAAUGAACUGAAAUUUCGAAUGAAACGCCGAUAAAACGACGCAAGUCCAUGGAAACUUCGGAUUUCAGUUAUGGUCUUUGGGGUUGGCUAACUUUGAAUUGCUUCUAUCUUAACAGGAUCAACUUUAAUUCCCUCGAUGGACACGACAUAGCCUAAGAAGGUAAGGCUAUCGGUCAGGAAUGUACACUUCUUAAGAUUCAGGGAUAAGCUGUUAUCUCUUAAAGUUUGAAGCAAUUGUCUUAAAUCAUCUACAUGAGUUUCAAUACUUGUGUUAUGAAUCAGAAUGUCGUUGAAGUAAACUACAACAAAUUUUCCAAUGAAUGGUCGUAAGACUUGGUUCACAGAGCGCAUUAAAGUAUUAGGGGCAUUGGAUAACCCAAACAGCAUAACCAGCCACUUGUAUAAUCCUUCUUUGGUUUUAAAUGCUAUUUUCCAUUCAUCUCCAGGUCGAAUAUGAUAUCCGCUCUUAAGGUCAAUCUUAGGCUACAUUUGGUUGGAGGGAUAUCCCAAAACAAGGUGGGAUAUCCCCCCAUCAAUACCCAAACAGAAAAAAAAAGAGAGGGGGAUUUGUUGUUCCGGGCUUAAUAGGUUGUUCUAAGAAAUAAUUCCAAGAACAACCCGUUAAGCCUGUUCUCCCCAGAUGAGAGAAUUAGGGGGAACAACUUGGGGGCUAUGUUUGUUUACCAUUUUGCCCUUUAACCCUUCAGGAUGUGUUUAGGAAUUUUUUUGGAAAUUUUUUUAAUUUAUAAGAGCCACACUAUUUUGACUUAUUAAUAUUUAAUUUAGUAAAUUAAAAGAAAUAGAUUGAAUGAUUAAUUUAAUUUAAUAAGUGCUAUUCCAUUUUAGAUAUUUAUAUUUUAAAUUAGUUUUGAAAAAAAUAAAAAAAUAUUUAAAUUGAAUAGUACUAAAUUAAUAUUUUCAAAUUAAUAUACAAAUAUACUUAGUUUGUAAAUUAAUUUAUUUUAAUACUUAAUUUAUUAAAUCAUAUUUGAUUAUUAUAUUCAAGGGCAAAUUUGUCAUUUUAUUUAAUUUUUAUCUUUCCAACACCUUAUUUCAACAUAAACAUCCAAACACUAUCAAGAAUAUUCUCUAGGAACAAACAAACAACAUCCAAACGUAAUUUACAAUUUGUUCUAGCUUAUACCGGAAUAUCCCCUGUUCUCGGGAACAACAAAAGUUGUUCUCCAAAUUUAGUUCUUUAGCCAAACGCAGCCUUAGAGAAUAUCUUCAGACCUCAUAACAUGUCAAGCAUAUCAUCAAUCCUAGGAAUAGGAAACCGAUACUUGAUGGUAAUUUUGUUAACUGCUCGACUGUCAACACAUUCGCCACGUUCCGUCCUUUUUGGUGUAAGGAGGGCAGGCAUCGCGACAAGGCUCAUACUUUCUUUAAUGUAACCUUUUUGCAGAAGUUUAAAAACCUGCCUGUGUAACUCUUCAUGUUUUGUGGGACUCAUCCUGUAAUAGGCUAAGUGUAGAAGACUAGCACAAAGUACAAAAUCAAUGCAGUGUUGGAUGUCUCUUAUAGAUGGAAGGCCAUCAUGGAGUUCCUCAGGCAUGACAUCAGAAAAUUCAUUCAACAAUGGUUGAACAGCUUGAGAAACUCUAGUGUUCUUCAAUAUUUCUUUUGCCAAAAGAAUAUAUACCACUGGAGACUUUGCUAGAUCUUUCGAGAAUUGGUUUUUGUUCAAAACCAUAAUUUUCUAUUCAUUAUUGGAGGGUUGCUUUUGGGACUCACUCGAUUUAGACUUUAGUUCGGGUAAGUAAUUUAUGGGAACCAAUCUAACUUUCUUAAUUGUCUUUUGUGACAAUGUAAGUGUUCUCCCUACCAUCAUGUAUAGUACUACGAUCAAACUGGCAAGGUCUACCCCACAAUAAGUGACUCACAUCCAUAGGAAUAACAUCACACCAGAGUACCAGACUUUAUAUGUUAUUCCAACUGAAAAUUCAACAAAACAUCUUUCGGUUAUAGGAAACUCAUCCUUAUCCUUAAACCAAGCUAUUUUGUAAGGUUGAACAAGUUUUUCAGUUUUCGGUUUAAGUUUAUCAACCAUUUCUCUAGAAACAAAGUUUUCAGUACUUUCACUAUCAAUGACCAAAGAGCAAAACUUGCCUCCCACGCUACAGAUGGUUCUGAAAAGGCUACGACGCUUCUAAUCAUCUUGGGUAGACUUAGAGGCUGAUAGGACUCGAUGGAUCAUACUAUUUAGUCUGAAAAGGCUACGACGCUUCUAAUUGGUUUCGAUUAGAUUUAUGUAAGAAAUCUGAACCCUAUGUAAUUUAACCCGAUUUUAUUUAUUCUAGUAAAUAUAAUACAAAAACAACCAUACUAUUUAGUCUAAUUUAAUCUAAUCUACUAUAUUGUAGUAUAUUUAUAUCCUCCGCCUCUUAUGUGACAAAAGGGUCAUCGUAACGCCAAAUGGUCUCCAAAGCUAAAUGCUAGACCUACAUUUCCUUGAUGGUGAAAUGAGUAAGUUGGGUACCAUUUUUCAACUGAAGCAAAUGUAUACUUUGUUAACAUAACUACUGCUUUCUAAUAGAAAUGUUUCUCUGUAUUGUUCAUCUAUGUAGUAACUGUUACAUCCUCAGGCUGCAGUCAACAUCUUUCAAAAAACGUUUCUAACUGUCAAUGUGCUUGAUGUAAAUGUUGAAGAAGUAUAUCCCUGUUUUCAAUUUGCCAAGUCAUUACGAUAAUCAUGGUACUAAUCAUGUAUAGGGUUCACUAAACAAGUUCCAUGAGAAAUAUACUUUAAAUAAGAGAGUAAGAAAAGUAUAUCAACCAACAUCCUAGUUCUAGGGUAAAAUAAUUAUCUUCAUCUUUUUUAGACGCUUAGAUUGCCAAUUCUCCUACAUUUUACGGAGAUGAUUUAAACAAGAAUAAUUUAAUCUUCAUUUUAACAAUUUAUAUCUUAGCAUGCACGUGCAAUUCAUAGAUGACAUGAAAUUUUUAUUUUCUUUUGCACCAAUAUAUUCUAAUUGUUUAUUACAUAACUAAUGCCAAAUCUUUCACACUUUAUUGAAGUAACUACAUACUAAUUUCCAAAAAAAAAAAAAAAGCCGUUUGAGUCAUGCCAUCAACAUGGAGGUCGUAUCAUGCCAAUACCUUGUCGACAUGGUACGGCUUGAUGGACAGAGUCUGUGCCAAUGGACACUUAAAUCCUUAGUGGAUACUCUUUCUACCAAAUCAAUACCAUGUUGGCAAAGCAAUAUAGUGCGGCACUCAAAACACAAUGAACCAUUUCCUGUGUUCACAUGUACGUAGGGAAAGGGAUUUCUAGUUUUCUACACAUAAAGAGAUUUUGAAGGCGGGCCAAGGAUUUAUAUGGACAUUGAGCAUUUCUCAACACAAUCAAUUAUCACCAUGUUUUUAACAUCGUGAGUGAUUCACCAUUUUCAGCAGAUAUUCAAUACCUCCCUUUCAGUGCCAACAUAGUUUGGAUGUGGUAAAAGACUAAAAGCGAGUUCCACAAGCAGUUUUUAUGUGGGAUUAUUUUAUGAAAGAACAAUAAACUACAUACGAGCACCAUAUAUCUGACUUGAUAUGGUAUCUUUUAAGUUAUAACUAAAUAAUAGAAGAGAAAAUUGACUACUUAAGUACAAAAAUAGAAAUACAUGGUGAAAUUCAAUUGUGCAUAAAACAAAUAUUAUUGCUAAAAUCAAGUGCUAAAUUCAUUUAAAAACCAUAAAUCAACUUACUGAAAACAAAGAAUCUAGGAUAGAAGGUAAACCUUGAGUUCAUAUUUUCUCAAUGUCUUAAUGACAAAUCUUUCAUCCUGUGAAAGAUAGAAUAUGCUCCCACUUUUCCCUGGAGAAGAAAGCUCCUUUAAACCAUCACCCCCACAUAUGGACAUCAUGUAAUCUGCAGCAUCAAUCUUAAACAUUUCCCGAAGGUUCCUGAAAAUAUAGUUUGAUAGAAAGAUCAAUUAGAUGAAGAUAUUGUCAAAUGUCACUUGAUCCAGAAACUUGUAGUGAAGAGUUGGGUGCCAUCGCAGUAUAUCAAGUUACUUCUACCGUCCAACAGGUAGAGAUCAGCUGUAUAAGCAGAGUAGAAAUCCCUUGCAAUAGUUGUAGAAUCUUAUUGCAAUUGUCCAUUUUCAGAAAGCUGGCAUAUCAUUGAUCAAUAGAUGAAAAAUAGCAUAAAAUGUAUGGAUAGACCAUGUACUAUCCUGCUAUUGCAAUUUAGUCCUUGGAACUUUUUAUUCAGACACUUCAGCACUGCACUUUCUCAUAUACUCCUGGCCAUUAAUGCCUUUGUGCUAUGAAACGACCUUUUAUGGGUACACAGAAACCAAAGAAGUCAUUUUAUAAAAGGAGAAUUCAUUGGAAAAAAGAAAAAGCUAAAUUACAUAAAACCCUCCCGUCAAAACCCAAUUUUUUACUUUCCCCCCCUGUCAUUUAAAGACCUACACUUUGCCCCCUUAUAAAAUAAAAAACGUUCACUGGGGGGUACAGUGUGAAAUGUGAUGACAAAAUGACCAUUUUAACCCUCACUAUUUUCGUCUCCUCCUCAUCUUGCUCAUUCACUGCCUUGAUCGGCCGCGAUUCCUCUCCAUUUUUUUUUCCACCUACUCCCCUUCCCCUCCUGCACUCUCGUCACCUCUCCAUUUUGGCGACAGUAGGGAGGAAAUCGAGAUGAGCGUGGAUGGAAAGGUGGGCAAAGGCAACGAAGGCGAAGGUGAGGCGGCGGAGGAGGGCGAGAGGGUGUUUAUGGGCGCAGACGGAGACGUGGGCGAGGGAGAGGCAGUGAAGAAGGGCGAGGUGGCGAGGCGGAUGACGACAAAGCACAGUAGAGGGCGGAGGGUAUUUUUGGCAUAAAAAAUAUUUUAUAACGGAGCCCUAACAGAUCACUAACGGUAGGAGGUGAAGUGAACAUUUUUCAUUUUACAAGGAGGCAAAGUGUAGGUUUUUAAAUAAUAGGGAGGGAAAGUGAAAAAUGGGGUUUUGACAGGGAGGUUUUCUGUAAUUUAGCCAAAAGAAAAUGAUAUUUUUAAUGUUUAUAGAUGAAUUAGAAUAUUUUAAAACACUCAGCGAAUAGUGUUUAAAUACAGGAACUAAGUCGCAAUAUUGGGAUAGUAUAGGAACUAUCUAAACAUUUUAUGCCAACGAAUAUAACAUAUUAAAACAUACCUAAAGACCAUAGGGCAGUAGUCCUUCCAAAAGAAACUGAUAGAGUUAUGUGAAGGUGUAUAUUGCGAACCAUCCUUAGGGAAAUACAUUCUUAUUCUUGCUCGAGGACCAAAAUCAGAAGAACGAACCUCGCGCACAGGGACAGGUGUAAUUUUUCCAACUGUAUACCUGAACAAUCACAUCAAUUACAUAGUUACUCUAAUCAUGUAAUUGCACAAAGCUAAUAGCACAACAUAAUAUUUACAUUCAUACAGAGACCAUUGAGCAGGAAAUAUAACUACACUAUGAAAACUCAAUAACUAACAGAUAUGUUCAUCAUUGAGAUUCUCAUCAUCUAAAGGGUUGUUUGAUUGGUAGCAUUUCAAUGUACAUUGCGAGUGCAACUACAAACAAGAACAAAAGAUUUGUUUGUUUUCUUGUAGUUGCGACUGCAAAUUGUAAAACGGACCUACAAACAUCCAACUACAGCAUUUCGACCAAUACCCAAUCAGAUAUAGUUGAAAACGUAGAAAUCGGAGAGAGAAAUUUUACAAUCCAAACAAGAGUAAUCUUACAUUACCACUCACCUGUUAAAUAACCAAAAAAACAAAGACCAAUUUCUAUCAUUAGAUAGUAAUCUCACCAUCUCACAUAAAAUAACCAAAUUUAUAAAUGCAGCUUUGAAUUACAGGUAACCAAUCAAAGAAAAUAUGUAGAUGCAUAACUCUCAACCACAUACCGCCAAAGGGCCUAGAUGCAAAUAUAACUACUGCAUCUCCAACUACAUGCAUCAAUAAUUACACUGUAUCCAAAAUAUCAAGCCAUAUUUCAACUCAGAGUAAGACUACAAUUAAGGCUUGUAUAUAAAAACACAAAACAGUCAAACUAUAACUUCAGAAUUUUUAUUUCUCCUUUUUCUUCUGAAGAACCUAGUAAACACAUGCCAAGAAUAGAAGAGCAUAAGUAAUCCCACUGAACCAGUCCUUGCCAUAAAUAAUUAUUUAUAGCAAAAUUUCCAUUAACUUAAUGCAAUUUAGUUACUCAUUCAGAUUUUUAUUUCAUUAACCAAAAUCUGAAUUAGGGGGGAAAAAACAUGAGGAUUCAACCAAGAUACUGUGGCAUAGGGUCGUGCCGGAAACUUGCCGGCACGGUACGGUACAAUGCGUGCCGGGUCGUGCCGAUGCGUGCCGAUCAUAAAAAAUUCAUGUGUGCCAACACAUAAUAGCAUGAAAUAUUUAUUUUCAUUAGCAACAAAAUAUUCUAAUUGUUCAUUAUGUAUUUUUUAUCAAAUCUUUUGAACUUUAUUGAGAAAAUUACUUACUAAUUUAAAGAAUAGAAAGUAUUGAGCUAUGUCGUUGGCAUGGGACUGUCUCAUGCCGAUAUCUUAUUGGCAUGAUAUGGUACGAUAGAUAGGGCCCAUGCCGAUUGGCACUUAAAUCCUUGGAUUCAACCUUAACCUGUCAAAUUUUGACUAACCAAAACCUGAAUUGAAAACCAGCCCUUACGGUUUUAUUUGAAGAAAAGAAAAGCCCUACAUCCUAAUCAUAAUAAGAUUUAAUCCAUGCAAACCCAAUACUUGCACACUCAAAUCAACUAGAAUAAAGGGUAUUUGGCCCUACUUCUGAAAAGUGAUUCUGAGCCCUUUUGGGCUCAGUAGAGUGUUUGGUAACAAGUGCUCAAAAAUCUGAUUCUGCUUUUUACAAUCAGAAAAAUGAUUUUGAAGGCCCCAAAAUUAGAAACAAAAAAAAAAUGCUUCUUAAAAUCUUAUUCUGAUUUUGUACUCAAUUCAAUUUUUAUUUUAAUUUUAUAUUCAAACUUUGAAUUUAAAUUUAAUUCUAAUUUUUAAAUUUUAAAUUCAUAUUUGAAUUUUUAAAUUUCAACUUUUGUAUAAUUUCAGUUUUAAGUUUUAAAUCUCAAAUCUCAAAUUUUAAAUAUCAAAUAUCAAAUCUCAAAUCUCAAAUUUUAAAUUUCAAAAAUUUCAAAUUUCAAAUUUCAAAUUUAAGAUAAAAUUUAAAAUUUGACAUUUUAGAUUUUAAAAUUUAAAUAUAAAAAUUUAAAAUUUUAAAAUUUAAAAUUACAAGUUUUAAUAUUCAAGUUAUAAAUUUCAAAUUUCAAAAUUAAAAUUUUAAAUUUUUAAAAUUCAAAUUCUAAAUUUUUAAAAUUCAAAUUUUAACAUUCAAAUUUGAAAAUUUAUAUUUAAAAUUUAAAUUUUAAAAUUUGAUUUUUUUUUAAAUUUGAUUUAAAAAGUCAAAUUUUAAAUUUUAAAUUUUCCAAUUUUAAAUUUAUUUUUUAAAUUAAAAUAUCAAAUUUUAAAUUAAUUUACAAAUUUUAAAUUUUAAUUUUAAUUUUAAAUUAUUUAAAAUAAAAUUUAGUUAAAAUAUUAAUAUAUGUAAACAACAAAAAAAUUUUGCCAAACAGCUUUACAAAAUCACUUCAGAAAAAUCACUUUUAUCUAAACUCAGCCAAACGCUUUACAGCUCUUAACCAAAAUCAAUUCUCCAAACCAAAAUCAAUUCUGCAGAAAUCACUUUUCAAGAAUCUAGGCUCAACGGGCCCUAAAAUCAUA